rnacentral:rRNA from 1 species
GGUGAAAACUAAUUGGCCUGAAGAAGAGCUUGCGUCUGAUUAGCUAGUUGGUGGGGUAAGAGCCUACCAAGGCGACGAUCAGUAGCUGGUCUGAGAGGAUGAGCAGCCACACUGGGACUGAGACACGGCCCAGACUCCUACGGGAGGCAGCWGUGGGGAAUUUUCCGCAAUGGGCGAAAGCCUGACGGAGCAACGCCGCGUGAGGGAGGAAGGUCUUUGGAUUGUAAACCUCUUUUCUCAAGGAAGAAGUUCUGACGGUACUUGAGGAAUCAGCCUCGGCUAACUCCGUGCCAGCAGCCGCGGUAAUACGGGGGAGGCAAGCGUUAUCCGGAAUUAUUGGGCGUAAAGCGUCCGCAGGUGGUCAGCCAAGUCUGCCGUCAAAUCAGGUUGCUUAACGACCUAAAGGCGGUGGAAACUGGCAGACUAGAGAGCAGUAGGGGUAGCAGGAAUUCCC